CCCGGUACGCCGGGACGAAAUGUGGCCGCCUCCGGCGGCUGAAUCGCAAG
rnacentral:ncRNA from 1 species